rnacentral:rRNA from 1 species
AUUGAACGCUGGCGGCAGGCUUAACACAUGCAAGUCGAGCGGGGGAAGGUAGCUUGCUACUGGACCUAGCGGCGGAUGGGUGAGUAAUGCUUAGGAAUCUGCCUAUUAGUGGGGGACAACAUCUCGAAAGGGAUGCUAAUACCGCAUACGUCCUACGGGAGAAAGCAGGGGAUCUUCGGACCUUGCGCUAAUAGAUGAGCCUAAGUCGGAUUAGCUAGUUGGUGGGGUAAAGGCCUACCAAGGCGACGAUCUGUAGCGGGUCUGAGAGGAUGAUCCGCCACACCGGGACUGAGACACGGCCCAGACUCCUACGGGAGGUAGCAGUGGGGAAUAUUGGACAAUGGGGGGAACCCUGAUCCAGCCAUGCCGCGUGUGUGAAGAAGGCCUUAUGGUUGUAAAGCACUUUAAGCGAGGAGGAGGCUACUUUAGUUAAUACCUAGGGAUAGUGGACGUUACUCGCAGAAUAAGCACCGGCUAACUCUGUGCCAGCCGCCGCGGUAAGAC